AUGGCUUUAUUUGAGAAACGAUACACAAAUAAAGUGCUACUAGAUGAUACAGAAAAGUUGACAAGCGUCAUUGAAAAUGCAAAAACAAUUGACGGACACACGGAGUACGUGAUUAGAACACAAAGAGGUCCACUUCCAGAAAAAUCUUGGAGAGUUAGUAGACGCUACAAUGACUUUAUACAGCUCAAUGCAACUUUAUCAAUAUCAGGUAUUGACCUGGCACUUCCUCCAAAAAAAAUUAUUGGUAAUAUGGAACCAGACUUCAUAGCUCAACGUCAAGUAGCCCUACAGAAUUACCUAAACAAUAUACUAAUGAAUCCUAUAUUGGCAUCGUCACUUCCUAUGAAAAAAUUCUUAGAUCCAGAUAAUUAUACAGCACCAUUACAUGAAAUAGCUCUGCAACAAGUAUCACUAGCUUUACGCAGUGAUGCAAAUUUUGAAGUUUCUAAGGCCAUUCCUGACAUGGGAUGGCGAUUAAGAAAGCAUUAUUAUACUGUAAAAAAUCGUCAAAAUCCUAAACAAGAGUUACUACUUGCAUGGGUGGAAUUUGGUCCAGACAAACACUUGCAAGACAAAGAUAUGCAAGGUGUUUUCAAAAGUUUAGGAACAUUGAAGCAUAAUUAUAUCGAAUCAAUUGUCUGUCAACAUGUGACAGAAAAUGGAGCAUUAAUGAUAAGAAAUUUUUAUCCCACGGGUACAUUACGUGACAUUUUGUGUGUGACUAAACCCAAACAACCAUUUAUAAAAAAGUAUGGAAAUCCAAAACAAACCAAAUCAUUAACAGUGCCUGAAAUUGCUAUGUAUGGUUACCAGAUUCUAGAAGCUUUAAGAUUUCUUCAUGAAAAGGGUUUACCAUACGGACAUUUACAUACAGGAAAUAUUCUUUUAACUCAGAGAUGUGCAAAAUUGUUAGAUAUAGAAAAUGGCCUUCUAGGCUUACCGGCAUUUUAUCGUCCUUAUGUUGUACAACGUCGUAAACUUCAUGCUACGACUCAAGUAGACGUUUAUUCGUUUGGACAUGUAUUAUAUGAAAUGGCAUUUGGAAGACCGCUGUUAGAAGCAACAUGUGCAGAAUUACCAUAUUGCGAAGCAACUCUAAAAUGUUUGUUGGAAGUGAUACUCUCACCAGAAGCCCUAAAACAAGAUCUACCUACGGUAUCGCAUUUAUCAGAACACCCGUUCUUUGAAUCAGCAAAACACGCUGCAUUAGCUGCUGGAUCUAUUGAAAGACCAUACUUCAAAUUGAAUAGUCAUUUGAAAGAAGCCCUUCACGAAGCAGUAAACAAAGCAGAACAAAGGUUAAAAGACGAACAAAAGGUAGCGCGUCAUCAGAAAAGACUUGUCAAAGUACAGGAAAUGAUGAGUUCGGAAGAAGAGAUGAAAAAACGAAAACAGAAACUAAAGAAGGAGCAAAAAUUAGCACAAGAACAACGUUCUGCGAAUCAAUUAAGUGCUAACGGAAUGAAACACGUAAAUGGCAAGAGCCCAGAACGCUCGGACAGUCCCACAAGUACUUCUACGGUAACAAGCGUUGGGACCUUAACACCACCAUCGCUGCCUGGGCACAAAAGUUGAUGGCGCAUACUACGCUUAUUUCUUUCACGUAGGUCGUAUGAUCACUCAAAGACUAAUUAUGUGCCGCAAGAUGAUGGAGUUCCUGCUAAGAGUAUUAUACCACCACCUCCGUCACAGUUACCG
rnacentral:misc_RNA from 1 species